AACCUCUGCGCUCAAGUGCGAUUAUACACACACACAUACACACACGGAUGGGCGUAGCAAACCACACAAAUAAAUUAACCGCAAAAAAAGCACACAACUCGCCGCAGGACGAAGCACGUAAGGCAAAACCGUGCACACGCAUGUAAACAUACAGGCGCACAAGCGGAACGUUUGCAUUGAAGAACACAUGAUUUGAGUUUAUACAGGCAUUGAAAAGGCGUUGGAGCCAAUCAACGAUUGCUCGAGGCUAUCUAAUUAUCAACUGGUUAUUUAUAUAAGUUGAAAGACCAGAGAUCGGGUUUGUAUGAAGUACGUCGCGACUCUUGUAUACUUUUUCAACAGGCAGCGUGCUAAAAGCUUUAAGUUUAAACUUAAGUCAAGAUUUGCAAUCAAAAUCAGUUACGAUGAAGGUACGGUGGUCCUUCGAAUACGUGCCAAACUGUCAAAUAAUUUUUUUUAGAGUUUUUCCUUCCCAUUUCAUUAAAAGUGAUUCAUAUGGAAUAUACUUUACUUCGGAGUAUUUCGUCACACUUCAUAAUAAAAUCUGUCCAUAUAACCGUGUUUCGUAAAAAAUUAUUUGUGUAGAACCAGGCAAAGAGCCCAAAAAUAAAAAAGCAUAUUCUUUAUGAAA